CCUACGGGCGGCAGCAGUAGGGAAUAUUGCUCAAUGGGGGAAACCCUGAAGCAGCAACGCCGCGUGGAGGAUGAAGUUUUUCGGAUUGUAAACUUCUUUUGUUAGAGAAGAUAAUGACGGUAUCUAACGAAUAAGCACUGGCUAACUCCGUGCCAGCAGCCGCGGUAAUACGGAGGGUGCAAGCGUUACUCGGAAUCACUGGGCGUAAAGAGCGCGUAGGCGGGAUAGAAAGUCAGAUGUGAAAUCCUAGGGCUUAACCAUAGAACUGCAUUUGAAACUGUUAUUCUAGAGUAUAGGAGAGGUAGGUGGAAUUCUGGGUGUAGGGGUAAAAUGCGUAGAGAUUAAGAGGAAUACUAAUUGCGAAGGCGACCUGCUAGAACAUAACUGACGCUGAUGCGCGAAAGCGUGGGGAGCAAACAGGAUUAGAUACCCCGGUAGUC
rnacentral:rRNA from 1 species